rnacentral:lncRNA from 10 species
AUAAUCUACAUAAUCAAAAUACAAGAUGUGUCAAAUUUGAAGUGAUGAAAUAGAGCGGCAAAUGAGGCCAGAAAAGGGCAUCCAAACUUGAUGAUCUGGAGAACACAUUCAGAAGGUUGCACACAAGUAUCCAAGAUGUAAGACUUCAAAUGUGAUUGGAAAGCUCUUUAGCAAGCUUCCACCACUGGCCUUAAGCUCAUCCAUGUAAAUUACUGUGUCUGGCUGGACCUGAGUUUCCUCAUCUAUAGAUCAACGUUAUGGCGCUACGUGAUGUCCACUACUUCUCCUCACUUCUGGACUUCUUUAUAAAUCAGAUUAUCUGUUUUGUUACUUCCAGGGCACAACCAUAAUGGCAUUACUGACUUCCGUGCUACAUGAUGACAAAGAAUUUCCUAAUCCAAAUAUCUUUGACCCUGGCCACUUUCUAGAUAAGAAUGGCAACUUUAAGAAAAGUGACUACUUCAUGCCUUUCUCAGCAGGAAAACGAAUUUGUGCAGGAGAAGGACUUGCCCGCAUGGAGCUAUUUUUAUUUCUAACCACAAUUUUACAGAACUUUAACCUGAAAUCUGUUGAUGAUUUAAAGAACCUCAAUACUACUGCAGUUACC